rnacentral:misc_RNA from 1 species
CGCACAUUGCGCCCCUUGGUAUUCCAUGGGGCAUGCCUGUUCGAGCGUCAUUUGAACUCUCAAGCUUUGCUUGGUGUUGGGCGUCUUUGUCUAUCUAGUAGACUCGCCUUAAAUUCAUUGGCAGCCGGUAUUUUGGUCAUAGAGCGCAGCACAUUUUGCGAUUUAGGCUUAAGGACCAGCGACCAUCAAGUUUAUUCUCUCGUUUGACCUCGGAUCAGGUAGGGAUACCCGCUGAACUUAA